rnacentral:lncRNA from 1 species
ACUAUACUAAAGAUGCAUAGGCUUCACAGCAAAGAUCAGCAUAGCUUUAUCUCAGUAUCUCCCAAUGACCCCUGGCCUGGUCACGCCAUCAGCACUCCCGGUUCCUUUUCCUUUCUCUGCAUGAAGUGUUUCAUCUCCAUUGGCUAGCCAGAUCCUCCUGGUUCUUCCCCUCUGUAAAAUGGGGCAAGUCUACCACGCCUCCAUACCCACUCUGUCUGGAGCAUGCGGGAGACCAGGCCCCAGAGGCGUGAGCUCCUGGGAAGAAGGCUGUGUGGAAGGGGACAGGUACAGGAGCUGUGCCACUGGAACUCUACGGAGGUAUAGUGUCUGGAAGCUCAGGUACGGGGCGGCGAGACACACACAAAGCUGCAGUGUGAGUUUCCCUGCAGGAUAUCUCGGCCUAGCUGUGGCCAGGGCCUGGUACCAAUGACCUCUCAGGGCUUUGGAUGCACCAGGUCAAACCAGCCAACCACCUGCCUCCAAUCAGGAAUGCACGCCCCAUCCCAGGCAGAGAGACAAGGGAGUUCCACAAUUUCUUCCUUGAUGAAUGAUUCCUAUCUACCACAAUUUUCAUUCAAUGCAUCAAAUCAACCAAUGAUGAUUUAAAAACAGCACUACAAAAACUCCGCAAAGCGGGUGGGAAUUUCCUGCUUGGGUCCAGCCUCCGUGUUUCCCGCGCACAGCCCGGUCUUUACCCUGGAUGCUUCCGAACCGGCAUCAUCUGGCAUCUCCGACAGUCUUGAUGCGACUUAACGCAUGGUAAGAACCCAUCAGAGAAGGUGAAAGGGAUUUCCAGAGACAGGUAGAGGCACUGCGCUGGGCAGCACCAGGGAGGAAUAUUAUCUUUUCAAGCAGCUGGACUCUGACCUAGAAGCCGGAACUCCUGAGUACUGAGGUCAGCACCUCUCUCACACACCCCCAGCUAUAAGCUUGAAGGAAACCCCUCCCCUUCUCUGGGCCUUGAUUUCCCCUCCUGCUCAGUGGGGACGUUCUUGGUCCUCCUUCUUGCCCACUCUACCCAGUCGCCGAGUCUGGCGAAGCAGAGCUGUCUGGGGGUCACCGCAGCAGGAGGGACCGAGCUUAGAUACGAAAAAAGACUUCUACACGGCAAGAGCCACAGAAAGGACGCUCCAGCUGGCUCAGCAGAGGGGCAUCUCUCCCUUUCAAGAACAAAAGGUGGCAGGUACCCGGGGGCCCUGGGGCAGAACGAGGUAAAUUCUGCACGGACUUCCACAUCUAAGACCCCAGAAAUCUCCAGCCGGCUCCCUCCGACCGUGAGUGCGUAAAACCCGGGAGCAGCAGGAGGGGAGGGCGGGGGUGCAGCUGGCCCCCCUGGGGUGUCCCCUCAGUCCCUGCGCCCCCGACCCUCGCCGGGCCAGCCUGGGGAAAGCCUUUCCGCCUCCGUGCGCUGCCCCGACUCCUCCGUGGGGAGGGAACGUGGAGUCGGGAUCUCGGCGGCGUGGGCGGGCCGGCUGGUAGCCGGCAGGCGAGAAGGAAUCUCCCGGCCCACGCGCGCCUCCCAGCGUCCAGCCUCGCACUUCCUCGCGGGGGCGGCGGCGAGGACCUGCACCCCGGCGCGGGGAAGCCGCGUGCCCACAGCCUCCCCGCGCCCCCGCCGCGCCCCGCCCCGCUGAGGAAGGCGGCUGCUGAGUCACCC